CUUGAAGACCAUAGAGAUUGGUAAGGGAAAAGUUCCUUGUCUUGAAGUAUUGAAGAUAGGGAGAUGCCAUCAAAUGAUAAGGCUCCCCAAAGAUAUACUAAACUUGAAGCAUCUUGAAAAGCUUUAUCUUUAUGAUAUGCAUGAACAGUUUAUAAAAAGAUUAUUUGAUGAGCAAAGUGAAGACUAUAAGAUUAUUAACAAAAUACCUCUCGUGGAAUACUCCAACAACGACCAUUUUGCCUCUUUUUCAUGAUAUUCAUUCUUGAAGACAGAUCUACAGUUUGGUCGAAAUGGGAAGCCUCGGACAACAACUUCGUUGGAGCAAGUUGAUGGUUCGUCAUUAUUUUUCAACGAUGUAUGUUUGCACUUUGAACGAACACUUGACGGAUGUGUGUAGAGGAGCAAAAAUCUAUAAUUGAAGAGCUUAAAAGGAAGAUCAAUGUCGUAGAGGCAGAGUUGGUGGUAGAGAAGGCCAGAAGAAGAACUAAAAGCACAACUAAAGAUGAUGGUGAACAAAGUCCUGCACGUCCACAAGCAUUCACUAACAGUAACAGUGCAUUUUUUUCCCCUGGUGGAAUGUCAAGCAACGAACCAGGUGAAAUGUGCAAGACCGAACAAGGUGGAAUGUCGCCAAACGCACCGGGUGGAAUGUCCAACAACCAAUCACAGUUGAAGACGUACGUUAGGAUUGGAUCAAGAAGGCGUUAUAAGAGUCAAACACUUAGGACACCAUACACCGCAAGUGUAGUAGUUAGAAAGAAAAAUGACUAAUUAUUGUAUUAGACU